rnacentral:rRNA from 1 species
UCUCCUGGAAAACGGGUGGUAAUGCCGGAUGCUCCGGUUGGAUGCAUGUCCUUCCGGGAAAGAUUCUAUCGGUAUGGGAUGGGGUCGCGUCCUAUCAGCUUGAUGGCGGGGUAACGGCCCACCAUGGCUUCGACGGGUAGCCGGCCUGAGAGGGCGACCGGCCACAUUGGGACUGAGAUACGGCCCAGACUCCUACGGGAGGCAGCAGUGGGGAAUAUUGCACAAUGGGCGCAAGCCUGAUGCAGCGACGCCGCGUGCGGGAUGGAGGCCUUCGGGUUGUAAACCGCUUUUGAUCGGGAGCAAGCCCUUCGGGGUGAGUGUACCUUUCGAAUAAGCACCGGCUAACUACGUGCCAGCAGCCGCGGUAAUACGUAGGGUGCAAGCGUUAUCCGGAAUUAUUGGGCGUAAAGGGCUCGUAGGCGGUUCGUCGCGUCCGGUGUGAAAGCCCAUCGCUUAACGGUGGGUCUGCGCCGGGUACGGGCGGGCUGGAGUGCGGUAGGGGAGACUGGAAUUCCCGGUGUAACGGUGGAAUGUGUAGAUAUC